rnacentral:lncRNA from 1 species
GAAGAUGUCGGAGUUUGUCUCGUUAGAAGAACCUUGAGCUUUGUAUGUACUAUUGUAUUUGUGUCAAGUACUUUGAACGAUACUUUUGAUAAAUGAAUACUUGGCCAUUGGUCUUGUUGCUUGAAGUUUGUUGCCUAGCGAAGAGUAGCUUCACUCUAUCUUGUCCGACCCAAAGCCCCGGAGUCGGCUGGGCCUGACCCUCUAGGGGAGGAGCUCCG